CUCAACUUAUGACAACAAUGUCGUUGAUAAAUUCUGUGAUUGGUCAACAUGAUUGAUAAAAAAAAAAAAAAAUUUCAGGUCCCUGAGCAAUAGUCUAAUAUAAAAAAAGAUUUCUUUUGUGUCUUAAUAAAUUUAACAUAAAAAUGAAAAACUAAGAUGAAAUGGAAUGUAAUAAUAUCAGGAAUAGGAAAUCAAAUUUUGGACAUUUCUGGCUUAUGACAGCAGGAUUUGAACUGAAUCCAAUUAAGUUAAGGAUUACCUGUGUUACUAAUAAUAUACUGUUAAACAUAUCAAGUACAAAUUAUCAUGUUUUUUUCUCCCUUUGGUUUUCUACACAAUUCAAUAAAAAUUUUAGUAUACAAACAUAUAUAAUUGUGUGCUCUAACUUCAAAUAUUUAAAGAAAUGGUCUUAAAUCAUUUCCAUUUUUACAUAUGUGCUUUAAUUCAUUCAAAUAAUAAUGAAUGCUUUUCAUAAUUUCA
rnacentral:lncRNA from 1 species